rnacentral:rRNA from 1 species
GACGAACGCUGGCGGCGUGCUUAACACAUGCAAGUCGAACGGAAAGGCCCUGCUUGCAGGGUACGCGAGUGGCGAACGGGUGAGUAACACGUGGGUGAUCUGCGCUGCACUUCGGGAUAAGCCUGGGGAACUGGGUCGAAAAUCGGAUAGGAGCCAUCCUUAGUGUGAUGGGUGGAAAGAUUUUUCGGUGUGGGAUGGGCUCGCGGCCUAUCAGCUUGUUUGUGGGGUGAUGGGUGACCAAGGGGGCGGCGGGUAGGCGGCCUGGGAGGGUGGACGGCCACAAUGGGGCUGGGAUACAGGCCAGGCCCCCUCGGGGAGGAAGCGGGGGGGAUAUUGCACAAUGGGCGGGAGCCUGGUUGAAGCACGCCGGGUGGGGGGUGACCGGCUUCGGGUUGUAAACUCCCUUCCCUAUGGAAGGAACUUUUAGUGACGGUAAUUGGUAAAGAAGCACCGGCUAACUACGUG